CUACGGGGCGCUGCAGUGGGGAAUUUUGGACAAUGGACGCAAGUCUGAUCCAGCCAUUCCGCGUGCAGGACGAAGGCCUUCGGGUUGUAAACUGCUUUUGUACAGAACGAAAAGGUCUCUAUUAAUACUAGGGGCUCAUGACGGUACUGUAAGAAUAAGCACCGGCUAACUACGUGCCAGCAGCCGCGGUAAUACGUAGGGUGCAAGCGUUAAUCGGAAUUACUGGGCGUAAAGCGUGCGCAGGCGGUUAUAUAAGACAGAUGUGAAAUCCCCGGGCUCAACCUGGGAACUGCAUUUGUGACUGUAUGGCUGGAGUGCGGCGGAGGGGGAUGGAAUUCCGCGUGUAGCAGUGAAUGCGUAGAUAUGCGGAGGAACACCGAUGGCGAAGGCAAUCCCCUGGGCCUGCACUGACGCUCAUGCACGAAAGCGUGGGGAGCAAACAGGAUUAGAUACCCCAGUAGUC
rnacentral:rRNA from 1 species